UUGAUUUUAAUAUAAAUCAUCCCUCCAGAUGCAGUUUGUUCUAAUUAUUAUUAGUUUUUUUUAUUUGUACGAAUUGGUCUUGGUGGAUUGGGUGUUUCAGUAGUUUUGGAAGGUGAAGAAUGGGCAAAAUCACAAAAUAUGAAGAAUCCCAGAUUUCGCUCAUUCAAUUGGUAUACCCUCAAUUUGCUUGUGGUCUUCUACUUUAAGUUGAUUCCAAACUUUUAAUUUCUGGUGUUAACAAGAAAGUAGUUAGGAGGUGGGGAAAAUAAUUUGAGCUGUUUAAUUCUUGUCAUUUUGGUUAAUUUAUAGCAAUGUGGUUUGCUAGAAUUGAAAUGCUAAUAAAGCUACCUUAUGUGGAUCUUUAACCUCUUCAAGCUUUCUAAUAUUACACUAUAGCUUACGAAUUUCCAUAGUUUAACCAGUCGUCAAAGAGUUAUGGGUUCACUGCUUGGGCUCUAGAUCUUGAGUUGAUAAUCCUCUUCAUAAUGGUAUGUUCAUUGAUUCCAUGAACUAGAUUACAUCUGUUGUGAAAGAUGGUGUGCCACAGUCUCCUAACCCAUUGCAUGAGAAGAAGCCUCAGGUUUCUGCACCUGCUGCAAGGGCUCAGGUAGUUGGAUGGCCACCAAUCCGUUCAUUCCGGAAGAAUUCAAUGGCAUCCAUUCCUACCAAAAAGAAUGAUGAUGUAGAAGGCAAGAUGGGAGAAGGGUGUCUUUAUGUCAAGGUUAGCAUGGAUGGUGCACCAUACCUGAGGACAGUCGAUCGCAAAACCUAUGGCAGCUAUGUGGAUCUAUCAUUAUCUUUCGAGAAGAUGUUCAGCUGCUUUACUAUUGGUACCAUGUUGCUGCAUAGAAGUUGAGGGCAGUUGCGAAGAUGUUGAGACUUGAGAACUUGAGAGACUAGGUGGUUAAUUAGGCAUCUUUCCAUAUAAGAAGAAAGCUGAUUAUGUUUUAUGCAAUUGGCUCAAAGGAAAUGUGGUUGAAAUUGUAGACAUUGAAUUUUUAUCAAUGAUUCAUGUAACUACCUAUUCUAUAAAAUUUGUUUAUAUUUUCUCAUUCAUAAUUGG